GACGAACGCUGGCGGCGUGCUUAACACAUGCAAGUCGAACGGAAAGGCCCCUUUGGGGGUACUCGAGUGGCGAACGGGUGAGUAACACGUGAGUAACCUGCCCUUGACUUCGGGAUAACUUCAGGAAACUGGGGCUAAUACCGGAUAGGAAUCCUUGCUGCAUGGUGGGGGUUGGAAAGCUUCGGCGGUUUUGGAUGGACUCGCGGCUCAUCAGCUUGUUGGUGGGGUAGUGGCUUACCAAGGCUUUGACGGGUAGCCGGCCUGAGAGGGCGACCGGCCACAUUGGGACUGGGAUACGGCCCAGACUCCUACGGGAGGCAGCAGUGGGGAAUAUUGCACAAUGGGUGGAAGCCUGAUGCAGCAACGCCGCGUGCGGGAUGACGGCCUUCGGGUUGUAAACCGCUUUCAGCAGGGGCGAAGCUUGUGGUGACGGUACCUGCAGAAGAAGCACCGGCUAAGUACGUG
rnacentral:rRNA from 1 species